GGUCAAGCGAACAAGUGCAUGUGGUGGAUGCCUUGGCGAUCACAGGCGAUGAAGGACGCGGUAGCCUGCGAAAAGCUACGGGGAGCUGGCAAACGAGCUUUGAUCCGUAGAUGUCCGAAUGGGGAAACCCACUCCUUUUGGAGUAUCCAUGGCUGAAUACAUAGGCCAUGUGAAGCGAACGCGGUGAACUGAAACAUCUAAGUAACCGCAGGAAAAGAAAUCAACCGAGAUUCCCAAAGUAGUGGCGAGCGAAAUGGGAUGAGCCUUGCACUCUUUAUUUGUAUUGUUAGCCGAACGCUCUGGAAAGUGCGGCCAUAGCAGGUGAUAGCCCUGUAGGCGAAAACAGUAUGAAAGAACUAGGUGUGCGACAAGUAGGGCGGGACACGUGAAAUCCUGUCUGAAGAUGGGGGGACCAUCCUCCAAGGCUAAAUACUCGUGAUCGACCGAUAGUGAACCAGUACCGUGAGGGAAAGGCGAAAAGAACCCCGGGAGGGGAGUGAAAUAGAUCCUGAAACCGCAUGCAUACAAACAGUCGGAGCCUCGUAAGGGGUGACGGCGUACCUUUUGUAUAAUGGGUCAGCGACUUACGUUCAGUAGCAAGCUUAACCGUAUAGGGCAGGCGUAGCGAAAGCGAGUCCGAAUAGGGCGUUCAGUUGCUGGGCGUAGACCCGAAACCAGGUGAUCUAUCCAUGGCCAGGAUGAAGGUGCGGUAACACGUACUGGAGGUCCGAACCCACUAACGUUGAAAAGUUAGGGGAUGAGCUGUGGAUAGGGGUGAAAGGCUAAACAAACCUGGAAAUAGCUGGUUCUCUCCGAAAACUAUUUAGGUAGUGCCUCGUGUCUCACCUUCGGGGGUAGAGCACUGUCAUGGUUGGGGGGUCUAUUGCAGAUUACCCCGCCAUAGCAAACUCCGAAUACCGAAGAGUGCAAUCACGGGAGACAGACAUCGGGUGCUAACGUCCGGUGUCAAGAGGGAAACAACCCAGACCGCCAGCUAAGGUCCCCAAAUAUAGCUAAGUGGGAAACGAAGUGGGAAGGCUAAAACAGUCAGGAGGUUGGCUUAGAAGCAGCCACCCUUUAAAGAAAGCGUAAUAGCUCACUGAUCGAGUCGUCCUGCGCGGAAGAUGUAACGGGGCUAAGCUAUAUACCGAAGCUGCGGAUGCGAGCUUUGCUCGCAUGGUAGGAGAGCGUUCCGUAAGCCUGCGAAGGUGCCUUGUAAAGGGUGCUGGAGGUAUCGGAAGUGCGAAUGCUGACAUGAGUAGCGAUAAAGGGGGUGAAAGGCCCCCUCGCCGUAAGCCCAAGGUUUCCUACGCAACGUUCAUCGGCGUAGGGUGAGUCGGCCCCUAAGGCGAGGCAGAAAUGCGUAGCUGAUGGGAAGCAGGUCAAUAUUCCUGCACCAUUGUUAGAUGCGAUGGGGGGACGGAUCGCGGAAGGUUGUCCGGGUGUUGGAAGUCCCGGUCGCUGCAUUGGAGAAGGCGCUUAGGCAAAUCCGGGCGCGUAAUUCAAGGGUGUGGCGCGAGCUCCUUAGGGAGCGAAGCAAUUGGAAGUGGUUCCAAGAAAAGCCUCUAAGCUUCAGUCUAACGAUGACCGUACCGCAAACCGACACAGGUGGGCGAGAUGAGUAUUCUAAGGCGCUUGAGAGAACUCGGGAGAAGGAACUCGGCAAAUUGGUACCGUAACUUCGGGAUAAGGUACGCCCUUGUAGCUUGAC
rnacentral:rRNA from 1 species